GACUGAAUGAACCAGCAUUGCAGCCAUGGGUCAUUGUUAGCAUCACAGGGAAGGUUGAAGCCGCCCACUGCACCUGUAUGGCCGGAGUCGCGGACACCUGCACCCAUGUCGCUGCUCUUCUGCUUAAUAGUGUUGAUCCGUGGCACAAGGACUGUUACCAAUGAACCUGCGUACUGGGUUUUGCCGGCGUGUUGCUGGGAGAGCACGUCAGUCACUCGGACCGCAGCGAGUCGAAGGCGGAGUCAGCUCACCUCGUCAACAAUUCUGACGCCCGCUACUCUCACCCAGCGGAUCACUGCAGCACAUCAGGUGGGGCUUCACAGUGAUGUCAGACAAACACCAGCUCAGGUACCUGUGCUGCAGCAGCGAGGCCGAGCUGUGGGAUUGGAUCACGAGCCUUCUCAGAGCUCAGGUACGUUUACCUGCACGCUGGUCUGGGAUCAGCCGUCGCUCCUGUGCUGGCCAUCAUGGAUGUGCUUCUGUUGCAAACAAUGA